AACGGAGAAUGGGCGCCCCCUAGGAGCAGUAAUCGGUAGUGGACACCGAAGGACCCAGAUGAGGGGCGGGGGAGGAGGGAGUGCGGCUCAAGAUGAGGUAGACUGCUUGGCACAGUUUUCUUCUCCCAGGAGCUUACUCCUUCUGGCACGACGGACACCUGGGAUCCCAAAACAGCUGGGCUGAAAGAGCCCUUGAGAAAAGAACUACCAACACGUGCCCUGUGUCAGCCCCUGAAGGUGGGCAUUUUCGUGAACAUUGUCACAACACUCUGCUUCGAGGGAGUAUCCUUAGCGAUUGAACACCAAGUCCCAGGUCACCGUCUCCACAUUCCUCCAGCGGCCAUCUUUGCGGUUAUACCCCGCCCCUUUCCCUUCCAUUGUCUGGUCGAAGAUAAUAGAAGGGAGCCUGGAAGACUGCAACUCCCGUCAAGCUUUGCGCCAACUGAAGGGGAAUUUCGAUAUAACAGCCGGGCGAGGCCACCGUGAGAAGCUAGGUUACCUGCCAUUUUUAUGGUAGUCUCGUUAUCCUCUUGGCCCUGUCAUGCUUAAGGAACUGUAGAAGACUAGGAAACUACUAUUCCCAUCGCACCUCGUAAGAUGGACUUCUAGUCAGGUGUCGCCCCUCUUCCGCCAUCUUGUUUGUAGUCAUCGUUCGCACGCGUCUACCCUCUGCAACCCGGAGCCUUGGGGCAACCGGACUGUAACUCCCGGCAUCCACCACUCCCCGUUUGGCACGUCCUACGCCAUCUAGUUUGUAGUUCCCAUUGACCCCCAGCAUCCCUUUAAUCCUAUGGUAGCACCGUCGCCCGCAGGACUACUACUUCCGUCGUGCCCUGCGCAUUUUAUUCCUGAAAAGUGGAGGUGGAGGGGUAAGGAGGGGGCAGGAGUCGGGUUUCCUCUGCGAGGAGGAGGGAGUAAAGAGGAGGAGGAGGAAGGAAGGAGGAGGGAGGGGAUCGGAGCGGGGGGGAGGGGAGGGAAAGGGAACAGAGGAGAAAGGAGGAUGCAGCUCUUGAGGGAAGAGCGAGGUGGCCGGGGCCCCGAGCGGAAGCAGGGCUGAGCCGGCGAACCAGGGGGGCUGAGGCACGCCGAUUGCCCCUUCACCGCUUUCAUAUCCCCUUCCAUCAUUUCUUUCCACCAUCCGGCUUGAGGAAGGGGAUUUAUUCAGGUUUUAUUUAACUCUAUCUCCCGAGGGUCCCGCGCUGGGGGAAGGGAGAGGGCCGGGGCGCGCGCAGGCUGCGGGGGGUGGGGGGGCGGGCGGGGCCCAGCAGCUUCCUUCACUCUCCUCUGCUCACCCCUUAGCAGUAGCGCGGGGGGCCGCAGUCCAGGGGCGGGCCCAGGGGAGGGGGCCAAGCUGCAGGAACCCCCCCUCCCCGGGAACCGGCGGUGAGCGAGGCUUGAACCCCGGAAACGGUAGGGGUCCCAGGCCUGGCCCUGGAUCCCUGGGUUGUGGAAAUCGGGAAGGGGCCAGUUAAAGGGCCGGGGGCGCUGGGGAGAGGCGGGGCGGGAUGGGAGGAGGGGAGCUGGGACUCGGACCCCCUGACUGAAUGGGACCCGGGCAGAAGCUGUGCACCCUGCGCCCCAAGAGCCCUUGUUGGCCUGGGGGGACUGAGGGACUGAGGCCCCCAGAGCUGGACCUUCCCCUGGAAGGGCCUCGCCCCCGGCGCCCCCUGUCUGCACUCGCCGCCGUCCAGGCCUCCGCCCUCAGGGGGCCGUGGACCCCGGCGUUCUGAGCGUUCCGCGACCCGCGCUGCCGGCCCCCCCGCCGCCGAUGGCAGCCGACCCGCCGGGAACUGCCGAGAGGGAGAGAUGGCUCCUGGGACACGUGUGAGCCCUCGGCGUUGCUGACGCCCCCAAUGUCGUCGAGCAGCCGGGGGCCGGGGGCCGGAGCGCGCCGACGCCGAACCCGCUGCCGCCGCUGCCAGGCCUCUGUGCGAACUGAGUGCGGGGACUGCCACUUCUGCCGAGACAUGAAGAAGUUCGGGGGGCCCGGGCGCAUGAAGCAGUCGUGCCUGCUGCGGCAGUGCACCGCCCCCCUCCUGUGCUGGUGCGCCGCCUCCAGUCCUUCCUGAACCCGUGUGCGCUGCAGCGCUUGGAGGACGCGGCGGGCCAGGUCCCGGCUCUGGGCGCCACGUUAGAGGCCACGCUGGCCACACUGGGGGGCAAGAGCCGCUAGCCCCGUCCCAAACCCGCGGCCGCCGCCGUCACUGCCACCACUGCCUCCGCGGGCGUUUUCCUGGCCAAGGUGCUGGGGUUCCCUGUGUGGGGCCUCUACCUCGAGCUGCAUGAGGCCGACCUGGGCCAACUGGCGUCUGGGGGCCCAGCCUGAGCGCCAGGCACGCGGCCCAGCUCGCAGUCCCCUCCCUGGCCGUCUCCAUCUCCCCAUCUCUGUCAGCGUCUCUGUGUCCUCCAGCUGUGUCCAUCUCUCUGUUUUCUUUGUACGCUUCUCCAUCUUUUUCUCUCUGGGUCCUUCUUGUCUCCCUCUACGACUUCCCGUAUCUGUCAUGUCUUUGCUUCCCCAUCGCUCCAGUCUGCCUCUCUGAGCGUCUCUUUGUCUUCCGGUCUCUUGUUUCCUCUGGGCCCCCUGGGAGCCUGUGUAUAUGUCCUCCUCAUCUCAAGGAAGGGACCCCUGUCACUCUGUUUGCCUCUGUCCUUCUCUCUGUCGUUUCCUGGCCAGGAACAUGCCUGCUGGCCCUAUGGUGGAAGGGCUCCUCCUGACACAUUUCAGCCCCCUUCCCGCAGGGUCACUCCACCUGCUGCUCUCCCUGUCCCCAUCCCAGCCCUUGUGGCCCUCCACCCUCUCCCUUUGAUGCCCUCCACCCCUUCCCCUCCCUCUGCCCUAAUCCUACACCUUCCCUUCUCCUCAAAUCAGGUUUUUGGAGACAAAAGAAAAGAAAAAUCUCACCCCUUUGAAGAGUUUUAUUUACGAGAAUAAAUUAAUUUUUUGUAAAUAAAAUGUUUAAAAAGAACCUAGAAUUUACCAGUAUAUAUAGUCGUUGAAAAUGGGGAGACAAUUUAAGGAGAAUAAGAUCCUUGGGGUAUGACCUGGUCCCCCCAGCCAUCCGCAAAAGCCACACUAUAAAGAGGAGGUUCAGGAGAGCCCCAGUCCACGGAUGCCAUCUGUCAUCCCGAAGUGGAUGUCUCCUGAGCAAGAAACAGAUCUGACUUAGCUUUUCAAGAGUCAGACAUCCAUUGACUAGGAAGUGAAGCACCUGAAGAUGGGAACUUGGAGCAGUGGCCACAGUCAGAGAGGUAGUUUCGAGGAGUAAAUGAACUCCAGGGAAAAGGGAGGCCUCGUUGCUCAGAAACUCCAUAUUUUCAUACAGGAAAUAAGGUAGAUAGAGACAAGAAGGCAGUCCCUGGACCUCCCCUAAAUGACAGGAAGGGGACCAACUGUACUCCCCCCUGUAGAGUGGGAAGUGAAAGUCAAAAGUGUUAGUCACUCAGUCACGUCCGACUCUUUGUGACCCCAUGGACUAUAACUGAAGCGUCUUCAAAGAGGUAUUUCUUUCCACCCAGGAAGUGAGCAACCAGUACCACAGGAAGGGGAAAUCAUGACAUGCUGUCCAUGGAGUCCCACCCAGAUCUGAAGGGUUGGGCAGGACGACCCAGGCAUAGGACUAGAGGCCUGGUCCCCAGGAAAUGUUCCCAAAUAUGUUGUACACAAGGCCUGUCUGCUAGACAGCAUGUGUCUCCUUUCUAGCCAAGAGCAAGGCAGAAAAGAAUCCCUUGUGAGAAAAAAAAAAAAAAAAGGAAGAAUCCACUGAAGGGGAAAGGGUUGCAGCCUCUAACAGGAAGUCCCACCUCCUCUAUUCAGAGUAUUUGGCCUUGAGCUCACCCAAGAAAGUCACAGCUCGGUCUGUCCAAAAGCUGUAGUCCCGGAUUAUUACAUACCCUUGACACUUCCUCUCAAAGACCGAGUCCCCUAAGGGGAUACUACUGAGGUGGCUGUUUGCUGGGGGGGUGGGCACUCCCAGGGCAGUCAUGAUGCCAGCCAAGUUGCCUGCUAGGCCUUUGGCCUUGAGUCUUGCUUCCCAGAGCUGAUCCACCACGAUGGAAUUGUUAGGGCUCAUGUCAUCCUGGUCACGUGCUGCAAGCCGAAGGUGCUGACUGAAGGACCAGAAGGCCUGCUGGGUUUUCAUGUGCAAAAUUUGAACAAGCAUCCAUGGCCUAAACAAAGCAUCUGUGGGUCAGACCCAGCCAGCAGGCUGCUGCUUUGAACUUCCAGACAGUUUUGUGACCUCAGGGGGUGUGGGUUCAAUCCCUGGUUGAAGAGCUAAGAUCUCACAUGCCUCGCAGCCAAGAAACCCAACAGAUAAAACAGAAGCUAUAUUGUGACAAAGUCAAUAAGGACGUUUAAACAUGGUCCACAUCAGAAAAUCAAAAAGAGGGCUUCCCUGAUGGCUCGGUGGGUAAGAAUCCUCCUGCCAAUGCAGGAGACACGGGUUCCUGAUCCAGGAAGAUCCCACGUUCUAGAUCAGCUAAGCCCGUGGGCCAUAACCUCUGAGCCUGUGCUCUAGAGCCAGAGAGUUGCAACUACUGAGCCCAUGCGCACCAACUCCUGAAGCCUUGCGAGCCCUAGAGCCUGUGCUGAGCAACGAGGGAAGCCGCCGCAGUGAGGAGCCUGCACACGGCAACUCGAGAGUAGCCGCCACUCGCCACAACCAGAGAGGCGCUCAGUGCUCAGUCACCAGUCGUGUC